CUUGUUCUAUGCCAUAGAUAAACUCCGUCCUGUGGAAAUGUGAUGUGAUUCUACAUAUUUGACAGAUUUAACUAACCUAUAAUUCUAAAAAAGCAUAAGGUAAACAAAAACAAGUGUUUAUUGUUGAAAUUAAAUAAAAUGUUGCCUAUAAAUUUAAUAAUUUUCGACGAACAAGAACGUAGGGAUCAUUACGGCUGCUUCGUGAAGAAGGUAGAUUUUUAAGGGAUAGAAGUGAUUAUUUUGGUUUGCCGGAUUUACGAUUCAUAGAGUUGUUUAGAUUAAAUAAAGAUUUAUUCCAUUACCUUUUUAAUGAAUUGCAACCGUUGAUGGAUAACAUUAUAUAUAU